rnacentral:rRNA from 1 species
AUGCUCUGUUCUAGCGAGGUGGCUGAUUAUGUUUGUCAGUUUGUAAUACUUUGGCCGCAGUGUACUUAUGUAUGUUUUUCUGGCCGGAGCACGACCAGAGCUUAUGUCAGUAUGAACUUUGAUUGUGAUGGUACUACAAACUCUAUAAAAGCACCAACAAUCCUUUUUACUGGUACUUACCUUUUAUACAAUUCACAUGGAUUGCGCCCCUAUUACCAACUGUGGUACAAAAAUGCACUGUGCUCAUCAUUUUAUUUUAGUUCAUCAGUUUGUAAUACUUUAAAAAGAGGAGGUAAAAGUGAACCAUUCAGUUUUGUAUUAUAA